rnacentral:rRNA from 1 species
UGGUGGGGUGACUUGUCUGCUUAAUUGCGAUAACGAACGAGACCUUAACCUGCUAAAUAGCCCGCAUAGCUCCGGCAGUGCGCUGGCUUCUUAGAGGGACUUUCGGCUCAAGCCGAAGGAAGUUUGAGGCAAUAACA